rnacentral:rRNA from 1 species
UUGGAGGGCAAGUCUGGUGCCAGCAGCCGCGGUAAUUCCAGCUCCAAUAGCGUAUAUUAAAGUUGUUGCAGUUAAAAAGCUCGUAGUUGAAUUUCGGGGUUAGUAGGUUGGUCGUGCCACUGGUAUGCACUGGUCUCACUGAUUCCUCCUUCCUGAUGAACCGUAAUGCCAUUAAUUUGGUGUUGCGGGGAAUCUGGACUGUUACUUUGAAAAAAUUAGAGUGUUUAAAGCAGGCUAACGCUUGAAUACAUUAGCAUGGAAUAAUGAAAUAGGACGAUCGAUCCUAUUUUGUUGGUUUCUAGGAUUGACGUAAUGAUUAAUAGGGAUAGUUGGGGGCAUUAGUAUUCAAUUGUCAGAGGUGAAAUUCUUGGAUUUAUUGAAGACUAACUACUGCGAAAGCAUUUGCCAAGGAUGUUUUCAUUAAUCAAGAACGAAAGUUAGGGGAUCGAAGACGAUCAGAUACCGUCGUAGUCUUAACCAUAAACUAUGCCGACUAGGGAUCGGAUGAUGUUAAUUUUUUAAUGACUCAUUCGGCGCCUUACGGGAAA